UAGGGAAUCUUCCGCAAUGGGCGAAAGCCUGACGGAGCAACGCCGCGUGAGUGAUGAAGGUCUUCGGAUCGUAAAACUCUGUUAUUAGGGAAGAACAAAUGUGUAAGUAACUAUGCACGUCUUGACGGUACCUAAUCAGAAAGCCACGGCUAACUACGUGCCAGCAGCCGCGGUAUACGUAGGUGGCAAGCGUUAUCCGGAAUUAUUGGGCGUAAAGCGCGCGUAGGCGGUUUUUUAAGUCUGAUGUGAAAGCCCACGGCUCAACCGUGGAGGGUCAUUGGAAACUGGAAAACUUGAGUGCAGAAGAGGAAAGUGGAAUUCCAUGUGUAGCGGUGAAAUGCGCAGAGAUAUGGAGGAACACCAGUGGCGAAGGCGACUUUCUGGUCUGUAACUGACGCUGAUGUGCGAAAGCGUGGGGAUCAAACAGG
rnacentral:rRNA from 1 species